ACAACGGAGGUGCGCGUUCUCUUCGUGAACAUUUUACACCAAUAACUUCUGCGGCGGCUGAAUCAAGCAUUUUUGUUUGGGUGACUAUUCAUCAUUAUCCUUAUCUUAUAGUUAACCAUUUACUUCAGUGUCAACUAAUCAAGGAUCAUGGCUCGUCCGUUGCUUUCUUUCGAUGCUGGUCAAUCAUACAGAGAUGACAUAAGAAGAAAUAUGCCAAUACCUCCAUGGCAGACGAAUCAGAUGAACGGUCCCAACCAAGGUCCCAACAUUUUUCCAAUACCUCCACGAAAUAUUAGUGGUAUUUUAAACACCCCACCUGGUCGAAAUAACACACAGAAUAAUGACAGCCCAAGAAGUCUACUUGAUGGAUUAUCUUUAGGAGGAAGGCGCUCUUGGGAUGGACCACAGAAAAUAAUGGAACCACCCAGUUUGCUAGGCAAUGUUAUGCAAUCCAAAAGAGGUCGAAAUAACAUGGGAUAUAACAAUCAAUCCAAUUUUUCGAACAGACAGGAUAAAAACAGACCACGAAAAGCCUCACCACCAACGCCUACUUCCAAUAGAAGGCAGUAUUCUUCACCUGCGCCACAGAAACAAACUUCAAAUAGCAUAGAACAAAGGGCCACGAAUGCUCCUUUAUCUACUGCAUUUUUUAAUAUGAUAAAGCCAAAUACUGUUUCCCAAGUUGCUACUAAUAUUGCAUUAGACUUUGCAAGAAGGGAAUACUAUGGUAAUAAGGGCAUGCCAAUACCUACUGGUAAACCAUCAGGUGUGGGUCAUCAUACAUGCGUUCUUUGUAAAGUGAAUUUCUUGACAAGAGAAAAUUUGGAGAAGCACUACGAAUCCCCUGGACAUAAAGAGUUAGACGACAUGUUUGAAAUAAAGAAAGUACAAGCAAGACUCAUCACUCAGAACAAGCUUCCACCGCCGCAAGAAAAGCCAGACGCUACCAUGAUUAGUGUUGCCAGGGCCGAAGUUGAAAUGGAUUUAAAACCAUCUACAAUGGAUUUGGAUGCUUACAUUCUUGGUAUAUAUGAAAGUAUCAUGAAACCUUAUUGGCCUGUACCAAAGAGCAAUUUUUACUGUCGCAUAUGCAACUAUAAAGAGUUUAAAUUUCAGGACGAAUUAGACCGCCAUAAUGUUUCUAGAGAACAUCAGAGAAUGGAGGAGGCAUACAAACAUGCUUACUGUUUGUACUGUCAAGUACAUACCACUGACUUGAAAAACAUGAAAGAGCACGAAGCAACAGGAAAACAUAAUACGGUGAAAGAGCUGAUGGAAAGAACAAAGCAGUGUGCAAUUGAACAUUGGCAUAAAGUAAACAAAAUUGCAUUACCUCAAAAGUAUCAACGUGUCGAGAAAGAAAAAGUUCCUAUUGUUCCUCCAGUUGGCAGCAAACGCAGUGCGCCUGAUGAUGACACCAAAAGUUUGACCAGUCCUCUAAAGAAGGUAUCAUCGUCAAAACCGAUGGAAGAGGAUAAGAUUCAACCCAUGGGUGGUGACAUGCAAACAAGAAGAAAGUCAAGUGAAAGUAGUUUCAAAAAGGCGUCUCCGUCUAAAGAAGUAAUUCUAACUGACAAGGAGAAACUGUGGUUCACUCCAAUCAAUGGUUACAUGUGUGCAGUUUGCCACAUGUUUCUCAAGGAAGGUGAUCUAAAAAAACAUGUCAAGGAUGCCGCGCAUGCGAUUAACAUCGCGAAGUUCAAGAAUAUGAUCAAAUAAAGAUCGUGGAGAUAAAAUAAGUAUUACUGAACAUGAAGAUUCCCAUGCUGUGGUACUUUUAAAAAACGUGCUAUGGACAACUCUUGUCGCUCUUCGUGAUAGAAAAAAUCGUUGACUUUCAAAACGAGAGGAAGUACUGAACAAGUUUUCGCCUAUCACGAGAAGAAAGGCUUUUUCCACUAUCCGUUGAAAAGUCUCAACAUGGACGAGUAUUUUUAUAACACGUACGUUGGAGAAGUUUCAUCGAUGCGAGCGAAGAGGCCUACGAGGAGCACGAUGGCAUGGCUGGCACGCCAGAAACGAACGGCUGGCACUACUUCUAUGAGUGGCUCUCUUUUGGCAAGAUAGCAUUGUACCAAUUUCACGGAACAAAAAUGUAUAAUGCAGAAAUGGAAAUCUUGAUUGACAACAGAUUCUCGGUUUUGAAACACAACUCAUGUGCUCGCGGUUACGAUGCAUAUAUGGACAUUUUGAAGCUACUAAUAGGAGAUAACAGCCUUCGUUGUAAACGAGAAGACGAUAACAUACACGAAGAAAUACAGUGGCUGUAAUAUAUUCUAACCAUAUUGAACCUAUUUCGCCACGUGCCAAUAAUGUAUUAUUCAACUUUUACCUUCUUUACCCAAUCAUACAAUUGUGGUGUUGGUUACAGGAGAGAGAAUUAACCAAGGUGCAGGAAAUGGUAAGAAUGGCACUGUUCAAUAUGUAUUCAAUAUGGCAACGACAAAACCCUUCAAUGAGCAAAAGGUAUAAGAAUUUAUACCCACUUUAUUUCAAGAAUAUAAACAACCAGUUAAUAUAAUUACUUUACAUGAUUUGCUUUUUUAAUGAUAUUUCCUAAAAAUAGAUACAUUAUCUUUCAGUAUUCUUUUUGGCGGUAAAUGAAAUACAGUCUGCACAAUACAAUGCGUAACAGUAAAA